UACGUAGGAGGCGAGCGUUGUCCGGAAUUACUGGGCGUAAAGCGUGCGCAGGCGGUUUUGUAAGCCAGAUGUGAAAUCCCCGGGCUUAACCUGGGAAUGGCAUUUGGGACUGCAAGGCUGGAGUGCGGCAGAGGAGACUGGAAUUCCUGGUGUAGCAGUGAAAUGCGUAGAUAUCAGGAGGAACACCGAUGGCGAAGGCCAGGUCUCUGGGCUGACACUGACGCUGAGGCGCGAAGCCAGGGAGCGAACGGGAUUAGACGUACC
rnacentral:rRNA from 1 species